rnacentral:rRNA from 1 species
UACGGAGGGUGCAAGCGUUAUCCGGAUUCACUGGGUUUAAAGGGUGCGUAGGUGGGUCUGUAAGUCAGUGGUGAAAUCUCCGAGCUUAACUCGGAAACUGCCAUUGAUACUAUAGAUCUUGAAUUAUCUGGAGGUAAGCGGAAUAUGUCAUGUAGCGGUGAAAUGCUUAGAUAUGACAUAGAACACCAAUUGCGAAGGCAGCUUACUACGGAUAUAUUGACACUGAGGCACGAAAGCGUGGGGAUCAAACAGG